rnacentral:misc_RNA from 1 species
UUUCCGUAGGUGAACCUGCGGAAGGAUCAUUAUUGAAACUUCAUCCGGGGCGCCGCAGCCCUCAGCACCGGUGGAAACGCCGUGCUGCGGGGGCCGCGCGUGCACUCGUCCAAACCAAACCCCUGUGAACCUUACGGGAUGGCCCGGGUUAGCGCCCGGUGCCGUUCCGCUUUAUACAAACACUUAUCAAAGAAUGAACUGAAGGCGGUCUGACCGCUGGAUAACAAACUGAAACAACUUUCAACAACGGAUCUCUUGGCUCUC